CGAGCAGUUUGACGACGAAUGGUAUAUCGAUAGUGGCUUCUCAUGUCACAUAACAGGGAGGAAGGAAGAGCUAAGGGAGUUUCUGUUGGGUUUUGAGCAUUCUAACACUCCUAAGUGUACAUGCAACCCUAAAUACCUUGGAUCUAUGUUUUCUCUAUUAUACAUGCAAAUAAGAACAUCCAAGGUAUUAUCCUAAUCUAGCAUACAAAAACUAUGAAUGUAACAAGAUAGAAUACAUACCUCUUUAGUGUAGCUUGAUGUCUUCAAGCUUUAAGAGCUUAGCCCCAAUAGUGUGGAAGCCUCAAGUGGAAUCACAAAUCACCAAAACACCUUGGAAGACUUUAGAGAAUAUGAUUACUUGGUUCUCUCUAGUGAAAUUGGCUAGCCCUUCUUAGUGUAUCCAUACUAGUGCCAAUUUCACCAACCAAAGACAUCUUUAUAUAGUAUGGAGGAUUAGGGUUAAACCCUAAUACCCAUGACCUUUCAUUUCCUAGGAUCCAUGGGUUAAACACUCCAUGGACUAUCCAUGAAAGCUUAGCCCAACCUAAAUGAACUUGGCCCAUUCCAUAUAUAUAAGAGUCCAUAUUUAAUUAGUUCCUUUUGAUCACUUAAUUAAUUAUAAAUUAAUUCUUGAUCAAUACUAAUUAAAUAAUAUGAUUCCAUAUUAAUAUAUUAGAACUUAUAAUAUAUUAAUAUUAAUCAUAAACAUACUAUUCUCAAAAGAUUAUCCAUAUAAAUUGUGUCGGUGAAGUGCAACCCAAAUGGACCAUGCCGGGUCGGGUCAAGUACAUACCAAAUAUAGUUAUGGACUUAGACAUUAAUCCAACAGUCUCCCACUUGGAUAAGUCUAAAACUAUUAUUGCGUAUGACUUCAAACCUAACUGGCAAUCGUAGCUCUUAAAGCUGCUGUCGAACUCUGAUCUUGUCAACGAACUUGUCCAUUAGAUAAGGGAUCAUAUAUUCCUCCAUUCUAGAUAUCAUAUGGACUGAGACAUGGAUUAUAAUCAUUCUCUCUGUCCAUUUGUUGUUUCCCGAUUUCCGAUUUAUGACGACUGACUAAUUGAACAAAUCAAAUCAGUCCUGGCCCGGCCGAGCACUUCCAUUUGUCAUCAUCAAAUCAUCGAGGGGCCCACAGAUAUCGCUUUUAUCCCGAAGGUAAAAGGAAUGGAUAAACUUCGACUCAUAUGGCUUGUUCUACUACUUGUUGAAUCAUACACAAAGGCACGUUUUAUAGCACCGAGUUACCAAAUGCGUUUUCGUGCAAUCAAUGUACAACCAACUCAUAGUAACAACUCAUAUCUCUAGGUUUGAAGAAUAUAAGAUAUUAUCGUCUCAUGAUCACUCGUGAUAAAAUCCAUGAAGUGAUUCCAAUGAGCGCGGGUUGAAUCCAAUACUCAGAACUUAUGAGCACUCAUGAGUGUUGUAGCCCUUUGUCCAACACCUUAGACCUCUACAAGCCAACCCAUGACAGUCUUAAUUCAUAUCUACUUCCAACAUAUGACCGACUGUGGAUGGUUUGAAUAACUUAGUCAUUCCGGAAGAAUAACCUAGUUUAUUCGGGAAGUCAAAACAUGCAAAGUGAAACACAAUAAUAAUUGAAUCCAAUAUGGUAUCAAAUCUUUGAACAUAAAUAAAACACCUUUUAUUUAUCACCAUAUGAUUACACAUUAUUCAUUGUAUACUGUUUCAGCUAUCAACUUUAUUCUUGAAUUUAAAACAAUAGUUGUCCCAUGCUCCAAGCAUGUACACUAUGUUUUCUUAAACACUAGUCAUGCCACACACCAAGUAUGCAUACUAUGUUUGUCUAUGAUCUUUACUUUGUGAACUAGAUCAAUUGAACAUAACUUCAAUGAUUCUCUUUUCACACUCCCAAAUCCUUACUGCAAAUGCAAGAAUUCCAAAUUCAUGCCAUUUACUGAAAUCUGUUAGAUUCUAAACUUAUAUGCAUUGAUCCUCUUGUAAUGAUUAUGCACAAAGUCAGAAAGACUUGACAACAAUCAUUACAGAGUAUUCCAAAGGAGAUCAGCUCCUUGGAAACAUCCUUCUUGCAUUAAGUUUCCUAAUCUUAAACAGAUUGAAAAUUCUAACUUUGAAACAUUUCCAGAUUCCAUUUUGACUAUCACUUCUGAACAAGAGUUGCCUCCUUACAGAUUAUGUCAAUAUGGUCCUUCCAGAAUUAUCACUAUACUUCCAACUGUCCUUGAGCAACCAAUCUUUGGUAAACCUUAGAUUGUCCUCGACAAUUGUUUAAUCCUUUUAGUCAUAUCCAGUUCUAAACCUUUUCCCUUCUUAAUGCCCCAGGCAUUUGGAAAAUUUUAGAACGGAUGAAUAUAGCACAUGUAAUCGAUCCUAUAUCCGAAGCAUAUGGGACACGAUUCAUGAUGUCUCACAUAAAGACUAAACCAGUCUUUUGCUAUAACAUUUCCAUUUCAAUUUGCCAAGUUCUCAUAAUUCAGAUUAUGAAAAGGGAUGCCGUAAUCAUAAUCGAAUUUUAGAACGCAAAUAAUGGACCCAUAUACAGAAUUUCCUUAUGUUGAGCCAUUCCAACAUGAAAUUCAUAUAUAUCCUUGACUAAAUGAUUAAAACCUCACGAUCUAAGCUUAUAGAUUUGAGAUGAAGUAUAAUUUCCUCUCCCUUAAUUAUAGCAAAACAACUUUUUCCCAAUUGAAACUUUUGUUUUCUAUAAUUAACAUUGCUAACUUGCAAUACUUAUCAUAAUUAUCAUGCUCCCACUAACAUGAUGAUUAUUAGCAUAACACUUAUGCUCCCACUAGCUUUGACAUGUACUCAGAAAUCAGCUGGACUUCUAGAAAUCAAUACUUCAUUGACUUUCUUACCAAAGUUCAGAUUUCUGAUACUAGAUUGUUUUGAUAAAACUGUAUCAAAAUCAUACACCUUCCCUUAGAUAGCACACUUGUGUAUCUAAACAAUUAUGAAGAGGGAUGCCGUAAUCAUAAUGUUUAGACCUUUUUGCCACUUCUCACAAGUCCAAGUUAGUGUGCCGGUUAACCACACGCGCUCCACUAACGACUUUGAGAAUGCAAAUAUCACAAUUGCUAUCUAGCUAAAAUCUACUUAGUGAAAGUGUUUCCUCACCAUCAUUUUCAUGAAUCGGAGAGAAACCUUAUGACACUUAGAUUUAAUGGUGUAUGUGUUCUUAUCCAUGUGAAUUGUCAAAAUCAUAGUCACAAGACAAGGAUAAUGACAAAUCCAAACUCAUAUGGACUGAACUCAAUCUUAAUUUCUUGCCACCUGGCAGCUCAAGGGCCUACCAUUGCUUCCAAGUUGUUGUGCAACAAAUUGAGAACUCUAAGAACUCAUAUGCAAAGCCAACUUUAACUGGAAUGGGCACAGAAUAUGUCAACACGAUAGGUUAUGAACCUCAAGUUGUGUGCUAGUGAAGAACUUUAGGUUUUAUUCUUGAUUAGUUCUUGAGACUUUCAAGACCUUUAAGACUCCCACUGUCCUCUUGACCUAUAAGACUCCCUUGUCAAACAUCCAAGAGAUAGUGCGGAUUCUAAUCAAGAAAAACACUUCACACAAUUGGCCUAAGUUGGUCUUUGUUUUAUCCAAAACAUCACAACUUACCAAUUUCAAAUGUACAAGAGUAGAAAACUUUUACUCUUACAUUUGACAAGUGUUUUAAACCUUCUUUAAGACAUGUCACUCAAAUGACAAUCUUGGAGUAUGACUCUAAGACUUGUAUUGGAACGAAGUAUGACUCAUCUUCUUGAUUUAACCAUUUCAACAAUUCAAGUUCCUCUUCUUAGUCAUAAGAAUGCACUAAGAUUUCCUUAGAGAACUAAUUUUGAUAUGGUUUCUUAAUCAUUAAGAUGAUCACAAAACUGAUACUAAAGUACUCUCCCAUCUUUUCAGAUUUGAGAAACUUUUAUCCUUCUGCCUUAUUUGAUUCUUCUUAUCGAUCUUUAGUGGUGGACUUAAUCAGUGCACAAGAAUGUGUACUCGAUCCCUAAGUCCUUUACUUGACUCACACAUCCAUGUGAACAAGUAAUUAGUCUUAAUUUUCCAAAACUUGAAAGUUCUCAUUCAUCAUGCUAUACAACUUGCAUGAUUCCAAGUUCCGGUCCAAUUGAAACUUGGGUGAUGAGAAUCUUUCCUUAUUUGGUAAAUUUAGACAUUACCACAAAUGAAAGAAUCAAUUUCAUACUUCCACUCUUGCUACUAAUGGAAUCUUAUAAGCAACAAAAAUUUCCACAGAUGCCAUUGUAAGGAUAUUUUAAAAUAAAUAAAAUCAAAAAUUUCCUUUUAUUUUAAAACUUUGCGGAAAAACUAUCCUUACAAUCCAUAUGAAAACUUGUUGUUAUCUAUUCCUAAGCAAUAUCUCAUAACUCCUAAGAAGUAGCUCAAGAAUCCGAUUUUUCAAACUAUGCGAUAGAAAUCCAUCUAUGCGAUCAGAUUCAGCAUAUUCUUCCUUUAAGUUUCUUCACUUUCCUUUGAUUCUUAAACCAUCACCAUGCGACCCGGUCACAUCAUGUAUCAAGAAUCUCAGAAUAGAAACUUAACAGAGUUAGAUAGUGGAUUUUACCUGAAGUAGAGUCAAACUUAUUGACUUUAACAUCCUUAGGUAAAUUUGGCAGCUUCGCAACCAAUGCCCUUUCUUUGGCAAUACAAACAUAUGGACCCUUUGAUAAUGGUACACAGGACUAUCACAGACUUAGCUUUUCUCUUUACCAUUUGGUCAACCGAGUUGACUAUAGCCGAUCCCUUUCCAUUGGGAAGAGAAUGCUUUACUGGAUAUCCAAUGUCAUCAUUGUCAAUGUCCAUAAAGUUUUAGGAAGUUGAUCUUAACAAAUAGAUAAGAUCAUUAAGGGUCUUGUCAUAGUCUUUUUCAUAGGUGUUCCAAAAGAACUCACUAUGUGACUUAGAAAGUAGUUGAACCACCAACUUUCUCAAGACUUUGACACCCAACUCUCCCGGCUUGUCAAUAUGUGACUACAUCUCCAAGAUGUGACCACACCUAGACCUUGCCUUGCCAAAAGGGCCUGAGUGACCUUAAACUUUUCAAGAACUUGUGGGUUAGGGAGAAUAAUUUGAAGAGGUGAAGAAGUAUGAUAUCCAUGGGACAUCAUCUUCAUUAGGAAACCUUGUUUCAAGAGAUUUGGGAAGAUCAUAGGUGUCUAAACCAGACAUCUUUUGGGAGAUAUUCAAGAUAGUUGAUUUAAAGUCCUUAAUAUGACACCCAAUAUGAAAUAUUAAGGCUAGGACCCAACAAACUAUUUUAUAACUUAGAAGAGGUAUGCCGUAAUCCAAGCUAUAAAAUAUUUGAAGGUAGGUGAAUGACGAUUCACCAAUUUCCACCAAGAUAAACGAAAUGUAUUAUUAGGUUUUAAUUGGUUUUGAAACUCCUAGAUCUUUGAGAUUCAUUGAACUUUUCAAAGGCAUGUUUCAAUCUCGAGUGUGCCCUUCAGGUUUUGUGACUGGGAUGCCGAGGAUCACAAAACAAGGUGUGAAGUAACCAUGCAAAUCACUUGGUACCCUUAAUAAAUUACCCCUCAAUCGAUGUGCCGGUUAACCACACACGCUCCAUCGAUACUAUGAUAAAUAUUAAGUCACCCUUUACCUACCUUGUUAAGUCCAAGUUAGUGUGCCGGUUAACCACACACGCUCCACUAACGACUUAGACAAAGUGUAAAGUGUAAUUUCAUGGAUUAGCACCUUAUUCACAUUUUUCCUAAGUAACUAAGAUUGGGUAUUAUUAAGAGUUUAGUUACUUAGUAUUAUCAUUAAUACUUUUAAUGAAGGGAGAAUUCUAGUCCUGUCAAACCCGUUCGGCUAACGACCCUCCACCAGUCAAGCAAGCGGUGGGUGAGAGUGGACACCCAUUAAGUUGCCAUUUUAUAGGCAACAACCUUAUACCCACCUUAUAGACCGGCUUCGUGAAUGAGGCGUACUAGCGGUAAGACUGACUUUACUCUUAUACAUAUAUAUAUUAUUAACUUAUAAUAUUAUAAAGUAUAAGGGUUGAAUUUUAACUUUUAAAAUUCUAAGGGCUAACUUGGAAUUAAAGUAUUCAUAAGUGAAAACUUUACAAAUUCCAAAACUUGAGGGCAAGUUUUGAAACUAUUCAAAACUAAUUAAUUCCAUAACUUAUGUGUUUAAAGUAGUUUUAAUCCAAAAACUCUUCAAGUUCCAUAACUUGAGGACAAGUUAUGGAAGACUUUAAACUAAUAAAAGAAUUAACUUUUCUUUAUUUUAUAACUUAUGGAAUUAAUUAAGGUUACACUUUUUUUUUUUUUAUUUUAUUUUAUUAAAUGAAGAGACUCUUGGUCCUCCAUAACUUGAGGACAAGUUAUGGAGUCAUAAAACCAUUUAAUUAGAACUAGACUCUUCAUUUUUGUAACCUUUGCCAAUUUUUAUGAGUUUUAUGAUUCUUAAAUGUGACUUUUCAUAUAACUUGAGGACAAGUUACAAAAACACAUUUUAGAAUCAAUUCUUAGAUUAAUUUGGAUUAAAACCAACUAUCACAUAAUUUUAUUCAUUAAUCUAAAUUCACUCAUAAAACAAGGUAACACAAAAAACUUUUGGUGAUCCAUAACUUAUUCUUAAGUUAUGGAAUCCUUUAAAACAUUAACACCAAAUUUUGUAACUCCAAAAAAACUUUGAAUCAAUUUUUUUUUUAAAACCUUUUCAUAUCCAUAACUUAUGGAGGUUUCAAAAAAUAAAACUCUUUAGAUCAAACUUUUAAAACUAAUAAAAUAAUCAUAUUAUUUUAUCUUUUAUUAAAUUUGACCUAAUUCAACUCAUAAAGCAAAUUAUUCAAAUUUUACAAAUAAUUAGUUUUUCACAAGAACAAGUAAUUAUCUUAAAAUUUGACAAACUUCAUGUUUUUUUUUUUUUUUUUUUUCAACUUUGAAAAUAAAAUAUUUGCAUCAAUAUAACAGAAAACAACCCGUGGCUCUGAUACCACUGUUGGGUUUUGAGCAUUCUAACACUUCCUAAGUGUACAUGCAACCCUAAAUACCUUGGAUCUAUGUUUUCUCUAUUAUACAUGCAAAUAAGAACAUCCAAGGUAUUAUCCUAACUAGCAUACAAAAACUAUGAAUGUAACAAGAUAGAAUACAUACCUCUUUAGUGUAGCUUGAUGUCUUCAAGCUUUAAGAGCUUAGCCCCAAUAGUG
rnacentral:lncRNA from 1 species